rnacentral:lncRNA from 1 species
CUGAUGGUAGUGGAGGAGCCGAGUAUCUUGAUUGUAUCAAUGUCAAUAUCCUGGUUGUGCUAUUGAACUAAAUUUUGCAUGUCUAUGUACUGAUAUGGAACUGAGUUCAAAUAUGCAUGUUAAUGAUAAAACAAAAGGUGCAAAACCAUGUAAAUAUAUUGUUACCAUUUGUGUUAAGGGGAGAGAGCGAGUUUUAUAUUCAUUUGCCUUCAUUUGUAAAGUUUCUUUUUGUUUUAUCUUAUGUGUAAUAUUCAAAAGCUCCCAAAUAAUAAAAUAUAAAUUGGUAAAUCUGGUUGUUUGGGGGUAGUAAAUCAAGCAAAUUAAAAAUGGGUGCAAAGAGACAUUUUGUUCCACGUCUUUUGUAGUGUUUGAUUCUUGUACAAUGUAAAUUUUAAGCAAAAACCUAAAAUAAUACAAAUUCAAGUCUCAAAAAUAAUAGUAAUUUGUACUUGUCUUUAGUCUGUGUUGAAGGAUUAUUUUGCUAUAAAAUGUCAGGAUUUUAUUAGGAAUGAUUGCUAUCAUGUGAAGUGUUGCAGGUGUCCACCAUUGCGAUGCAGCAGCAAGAAAAACUCAUCCAACAAGAGAGGGCACUGCUAAACUUUACAGAAUGGAAGAGAAGCUGUGCCCUUCAGAUGAAAUAUUGCCAAGCCUUCAUGCAAAACUCAUUAAGUUCAGCCCAUAACAGCAGUCCUUGUCCAAACAAUUGGAUUCAGAACAGAGAAAGUUGUUACUAUGUCUCUGAAAUUUGGAGCAUUUGGCACACCAGUCAAGAGAAUUGUUUAAAGGAAGGUUCCACGCUGCUA